CGGGAGAGAGAGCAUCUAGCUAGGGAGAGAAAGGAAGAGACGAGAGGAGAGAGAUGGCCACUGCUUAUGCUCCCAUGGCGAGCCAGCUGAUGAAGAGCAGCUUGGUGUGCUCCAAGCCGAGGGGGCUGUCUGGUGCUUCGCUGACAAGGAGGCCCCGCUUCACAGUCAAGGCCAUCCAGUCUGAGAAGCCAACGUACCAGGUGGUGCAGCCCAUCAAUGGCGACCCCUUCAUCGGCAGCCUGGAGACGCCGGUGACCUCCAGCCCGCUGGUCGCCUGGUACCUCUCCAACCUCCCGGCGUACCGCACCGCCGUCAGCCCGCUGCUCCGCGGCAUCGAGGUCGGCCUCGCCCACGGCUACCUCCUCGUCGGGCCCUUCGCGCUCACCGGCCCGCUCCGCAACACGCCGGUGCACGGCCAGGCCGGCGCCCUCGGCGCCGCAGGCCUCGUCGCCAUCCUCAGCGUCUGCCUCACCAUGUACGGCGUCGCCUCCUUCGGCGAGGGCGAGCCGUCCACGGCGCCGACGCUGACGCUCACCGGCCGCAAGAAGGAGGCCGACAAGCUGCAGACCGCCGACGGCUGGGCCAAGUUCACCGGCGGCUUCUUCUUCGGCGGCAUCUCCGGCGUCCUCUGGGCCUACUUCCUCCUCUACGUGCUCGACCUCCCGUACUUCUUCAAGUAGAUCUUUUGUUUGUAAGUGCAUGACCGGGUGAUGCAUGUGUAGAUCGAUCGAUGAUGGAACAUGUGUGUGUUCAUGUGGUGGCUGAUUUGAGUGCCUUCUACUUGUAUAAAUGAAAUGCAUCUGCACAAGGGCACAAACAGGCUGCCUGCAUGGAUAUAUGGAUGGUGUGCUGUUGUAACUUG
rnacentral:misc_RNA from 1 species